CAGUCGCCGCGGUAAUACGUAGGGUGCGAGCGUUAAUCGGAAUUACUGGGCGUAAAGCGUGCGCAGGCGGUUCGUUAAGACAGAUGUGAAAUCCCCGGGCUUAACCCGGGAGCUGCAUUUGUGACUGGCGAGCUAGAGUAUGGCAGAGGGGGGUAGAAUUCCACGUGUAGCAGUGAAAUGCGUAGAGAUGUGGAGGAAUACCGAUGGCGAAGGCAGCCCCCUGGGCCAAUACUGACGCUCAUGCACGAAAGCGUGGGGAGCAAACAGGAUUAGAUACCCGCGUAGUCCCUGUCUCUUAUAC
rnacentral:rRNA from 1 species